AGCCCUAGCACGAAGUUCUUCUCCUCCUACCAUCAAGAUACACUAAGGGUUUUCAAGAAAAUCCAUCUAAUGGAUUCAAGAUUAAGGCUUUUGGAUUCUUCUCCAAGUUCAGACCAUUAGUUACAAGUUUUAGAGCAUUAACAGAUUUACAUGACGACGAAUCAGCUCGUUAGACCUUGCACGUAUCAGCUAUUGGUAAGCCCCAUCUCUUUCAGGGUUUUAUCUAUAUUUAUAUUUAUUUCAGUUAUGUAGUUAAGGUAUGUUGGGGGCCUUGUCUCGGUAAACAGUUUAGCAGUCAGACUCAUGAUAGAGGUUUAAUAGACUAGAUUAGAUCAGUUAUGUCAUGUCAGAUGUUCAGAUUCGUAUAGCCAGUAUUGGCUCAGUACUUAUUAUAUUUU